GCUUCCUUCAAGCUGAGGAAGUGGUGCUCGAUUUAUAAGAGCGUGGCUUUUCUCAUAGGCAAUUGGAGUUGUGAAACUCACUACUACACUUUUGUCUUCAGGAGCUGGAAGGGCGAGUCUUGCACUGCAACACCAUUCCUCUGUCCGCUGGUCAAGCUUGCAAAGUCGAGGCCAAAGGUACUUCUGAAUGGUCGCUAACACGGGAUACCUACACAAGAAAAAGAACCAAAGCUCCAAAAGGUGCAGUUGAAGGGAUUCAGGCAAUGGUUGGAGUGGAACCCAUCCAAGCCUUACACAUAUGCGACCAACAUUGGUGUCAACCUUGUUAGUCAUGUAAAAGGAUGGUAUGGCAAGUUAAUUUGAAAUAUGCA